GAUGAACGCUAGCUACAGGCUUAACACAUGCAAGUCGAGGGGAAACAGCAUCGAAAGCUUGCUUUUGAUGGGCGUCGACCGGCGCACGGGUGAGUAACGCGUAUCCAACCUGCCCAUCACUUGGGAAUAACCUUGCGAAAGUAAGACUAAUGCCCAAUGACAUCCCACGAAGGCAUCCGAAUGGGAUUAAAGAUUUAUCGGUGAUGGAUGGGGAUGCGUCUGAUUAGCUUGUUGGCGGGGUGACGGCCCACCAAGGCAACGAUCAGUAGGGGUUCUGAGAGGAAGGUCCCCCACAUUGGAACUGAGACACGGUCCAAACUCCUACGGGAGGCAGCAGUGAGGAAUAUUGGUCAAUGGGCGAGAGCCUGAACCAGCCAAGUAGCGUGCAGGAUGACGGCCCUAUGGGUUGUAAACUGCUUUUAUAAGGGAAUAAAGUGGGUCACGUGUGACUUUUUGCAUGUACCUUAUGAAUAAGGACCGGCUAAUUCCGUG
rnacentral:rRNA from 1 species